rnacentral:tRNA from 1 species
UUCCUGGGGGUCCAGUGGUUAAGACUCUGCAUUUCCAAUGCAGGGGAUACAGGUUCAAUUCCCUGGUUAGGGAA